rnacentral:rRNA from 1 species
GAUGAACGCUGGCGGCGUGCCUAAUACAUGCAAGUCGAGCGAACAGACGAGGAACUUGCUCCUCUGACGUUAGCGGCGGAAGGGUGAGUAACACGUGGAUAACCUACCUAUAAGACUGGGAUAACUUCGGGAAACCGGAGCUAAUACCGGAUAAUAUAUUGAACCGCAUGGUUCAAUAGUGAAAGACGGUUUUGCUGUCACUUAUAGAUGGAUCCGCGCCGCAUUAGCUAGUUGGUAAGGUAACGGCUUACCAAGGCAACGAUGCGUAGCCGACCUGAGAGGGUGAUCGGCCACACUGGAACUGAGACACGGUCCAGACUCCUACGGGAGGCAGCAGUAGGGAAUCUUCCGCAAUGGGCGAAGGCCUGACGGAGCAACGCCGCGUGAGUGAUGAAGGUCUUCGGAUCGUAAAACUCUGUUAUUAGGGAAGAACAAAUGUGUAAGUAACUAUGCACGUCUUGACGGUACCUAAUCAGAAAGCCACGGCUAACUACGUG